rnacentral:rRNA from 1 species
ACCUCGGAUCAGGUAGGAAUACCCGCUGAACUUAAGCAUAUCAAUAAGCGGAGGAAAAGAAACCAACAGGGAUUGCCCUAGUAACGGCGAGUGAAGCGGCAACAGCUCAAAUUUGAAAUCUGGCUUCGGCCCGAGUUGUAAUUUGCAGAGGAUGUUUCUGGCGCGGUGCCUUCCGAGUUCCCUGGAACGGGACGCCACAGAGGGUGAGAGCCCCGUAUGGUUGGACACCAAGCCUGUGUGAAACUCCUUCAACGAGUCGAGUAGUUUGGGAAUGCUGCUCUAAAUGGGAGGUAAAUCUCUUCUAAAGCUAAAUACCGGCCAGAGACCGAUAGCGCACAAGUAGAGUGAUCGAAAGAUGAAAAGCACCUUGAAAAGGGGGUUAAAUAGUACGUGAAAUUGUUGAAAGGGAAGCACUUAUGACCAGACUUGGGCCGGGCGGCUCAUCAGGGGUUCUCCCCUGUGCACUCCGCCCGGCACAGGCCAGCAUCGGUUUUCGCGGGGGGAUAAGACCGUCAGGAACGUGGCACCNUCCGGGGUGUGUUAUAGCCUGGCGGACGAUACCCCCGCGGGGAC